UGGGGAAUUUUGGGCAAUGGGCGAAAGCCUGACCCAGCAACGCCGCGUGCAGGAUGAAGGCCCUCGGGUCGUAAACUGCUGUCGGGAGGGAAGAAAAGCAGCGGGAGGAAAUGACCGCUGCCUGACGGUACCUCCAAAGGAAGCGCCGGCUAACUCCGUGCCAGCAGCCGCGGUAAGACGGAAGGUGCAAGCGUUGCUCGGAAUCACUGGGCGUAAAGGGUGCGUAGGCGGCUUCUUAAGUCUGGUGUGAAAGCCCAGGGCUCAGCUCUGGAAGUGCACUAGAUACUGGGAAGCUUGAGUAUCGGAGGGGAGAGUGGAAUUCCUGGUGUAGCGGUGAAAUGCGUAGAUAUCAGGAGGAAUACCGGUGGCGAAAGCGACUCUCUGGACGAUUACUGACGCUGAGGCACGAAAGCGUGGGGAGCAAACAGGAUUAGAUACCCUUGUAGUCCCUGAGCGGGCUGGCAAGGCGCAU
rnacentral:rRNA from 1 species